rnacentral:antisense_RNA from 1 species
UUCUAUGGCGGGCCGGGCGGGGCAGCCUUCGGGCUGACCGGAUGUAGUGACGCCGGUUUCCACCCCCGCUGCGGGUCCGCCACCCUC